rnacentral:tRNA from 1 species
GGGCUCGUAGCUCAAUGGUAGAGCAGUGGACUCUUAAUCCAUUUGUUAGGGGUUCAAGUCCCUUCGGGCCCA